CCACGAGGGUUAGACUGUCUCCUUUUUCAAAUCAGUGAAAUUAAUCUCCCCGUGAAGAAGCGGGGAUACUCAUAUAAGACGAGAAGACCCCAUGGAGCUUCAAACCCAACUACACCCCUAGCUCUUAUAGCCCCACAACCCCCCCCCCCC
rnacentral:rRNA from 1 species